UACAGAGGGUGCGAGCGUUGUCCGGAAUCACUGGGCGUAAAGGGCGCGUAGGCGGCUUGACAAGCGUGCGGUGAAAGCUCGGGGCUCAACCCCGAGUCGGCCGUGCGAACUGUCAGGCUUGAGCACAGUAGAGGCAGAUGGAGUUCCGGGUGUAGCGGUGGAAUGCGUAGAGAUCCGGAAGAACACCGGUGGCGAAGGCGGUCUGCUGGGCUGUGGCUGACGCUGAUGCGCGACAGCGUGGGGAGCAAACAGG
rnacentral:rRNA from 1 species